CCUACGGGUGGCAGCAGUGAGGAAUAUUGGUCAAUGGGCGGGAGCCUGAACCAGCCAAGUCGCGUGAGGGAAGACGGUCCUAUGGAUUGUAAACCUCUUUAGGCGGGGAGCAAUGUCGGGCACGCGUGCCCGGAGGGAGAGUACCCGCAGAAUAGGCAUCGGCUAACUCGGUCCCAGCAGCCGCGGUAAUAAGGAGGAUGGGAGCGUUAUCCGGAUUUAGUGGGUUUAAGGGGUGCGUAGGCGGAUUUUUAAGUCAGCGGUAAAAUGUCGGGGCUCAACCCGGGCCGGCCGUUGAAACUGGGGAUCUUGAGUGGGCGAGAGGUAUGCGGAAUGCGUGGUGUAGCGGUGAAAUGCAUAGAUAUCACGCAGAACUCCGAUUGCGAAGGCAGCAUACCGGCGCCCGACUGACGCUGAGGCACGAAAGCGUGGGGAUCGAACAGGAUUAGAUACCCCAGUAGUC
rnacentral:rRNA from 1 species